rnacentral:rRNA from 1 species
UGGGGAAUAUUGUACAAUGGGCGCAAGCCUGAUGCAGCAACGCCGCGUGAGGGACGACGGCCUUCGGGUUGUAAACCUCUUUUGGCAGGGAAGAAGCGAAAGUGACGGUACCUGCAGAAAAAGCACCGGCUAACUACGUGCCAGCAGCCGCGGUGAUACGUAGGGUGCAAGCGUUGUCCGGAAUUAUUGGGCGUAAAGAGCUCGUAGGCGGUUUGUCGCGUCUGCUGUGAAAACCCGAGGCUCAACCUCGGGCCUGCAGUGGGUACGGGCAAACUAGAGUGCGGUAGGGGAGAUUGGAAUUCCUGGUGUAGCGGUGGAAUGCGCAGAUAUCAGGAGGAACACCGAUGGCGAAGGCAGAUCUCUGGGCCGUAACUGACGCUGAGGAGCGAAAGCAUGGGGAGCGAACA